rnacentral:rRNA from 1 species
UAGGGAAUUGUUCGCAAUGGGCGAAAGCCUGACGACGCAACGCCGCGUGGAGGACGAAGGUCUUCGGGUCGUAAACUCCUGUCGAGCGGGACGAACAGUGCGUGGGUUAAUACCCCAUGCGCCUGACGGUACCGCUAAAGGAAGCCCCGGCUAACUCCGUGCCAGCAGCCGCGGUAAUACGGAGGGGGCGAGCGUUGUUCGGAUUUACUGGGCGUAAAGGGCUCGUAGGCGGCCAUCUAAGUCGGUUGUGAAAUCCCUCGGCUCAACCGGGGAACUGCGACCGAUACUGGAUGGCUUGAAGCCGGGAGAGGGAUGCGGAAUUCCAGGUGUAGCGGUGAAAUGCGUAGAUAUCUGGAGGAACACCCGUGGCGAAGGCGGCAUCCUGGACCGGUCUUGACGCUGAGGAGCGAAAGCUAGGGUAGCAAACGGGAUUAGAUACCCCCGUAGUCC